rnacentral:rRNA from 1 species
AUAGAGCUUCCCCUUCGGGGGCAAAGUGACAGGUGGUGCAUGGUUGUCGUCAGCUCGUGUCGUGAGAUGUUGGGUUAAGUCCCCGCAACGAGCGCAACCCUUAUUGUUAGUUGCCAUCAUUCAGUUGGGGCACUCUAGCAAGACUGCCGGUGACAAACCGGAGGAAGGUGGGGAUGACGUCAAAUCAUCAAUGCCCCUUAUGACCUGGGCUACACACGUGCCUACAAUGGGAAGUACAACGAGUCGCGAAGUCGCGAGGCUAAGCUAAUCUCUUAAAGCUUCUCUCAGUUCGGAUUGCAGGCUGCAACUCGCCUGCAUGAAGCCGGAAUCGCUAGUAAUCGCGGAUCAGCACGCCGCGGUGAAUACGUUCCCGGGCCUUGUACACACCGGCCCGUCACACCCACGAGAGUUUGUAACACCCGAAAGUCGGUGAGGUAACCUUUUUGGAGCCAGCCGCCUAAGGUGGGAUAGAUGAUUGGGGUGAAGUCGUAACAAGGUAGCCGUAUCGGAAGGUGCGGCUGGAUCACCUCCUUUCUAAGGAA